rnacentral:rRNA from 1 species
GACGAACGCUGGCGGCGUGCCUAAUACAUGCAAGUCGAACGCUGAAGAGAGGAGCUUGCUCUUCUUGGAUGAGUUGCGAACGGGUGAGUAACGCGUAGGUAACCUGCCUUGUAGCGGGGGAUAACUAUUGGAAACGAUAGCUAAUACCGCAUAACAAUGGAUGACACAUGUUAUUUAUUUGAAAGGGGCAAUUGUUCCCCUACAAAGUGGACUUGCGUUUUAUUAGCUAGUAUGUGAGGUAAUGGCUCACCUAGGGCAAGGUACCUAGCCGACCUGAGAGGGUGGACCGCCAAACUGGGACCUGGGCACGGCCCAGACUCCCACGGGAGGGAGCCGGAGGGGAUCUUCGGCAAUGGGGGCAACCCUGACCGAGCAACGCCGCGUGAGUGAAGAAGGGUUUCGGAUCGGAAAGCUCUGUUGUUAGUCAAGAACGGGUGUGAGAGUGGAAAGUUCACACUGUGACGGUAGCUUACCAGAAAGGGACGGCUAACUACGUG